AGCUGGGACUAGAGGCACGUGCCACCAUGCCCAGCAGACAAGCACUCAGAGGAUGAGCAGGGCUGCAUCACCCCUACGUCCACCGGGUGGGCCAGUUGGUAAGUCACUGCCACUGGGCAUGGAAGCUGGAGAGGAACUCAGCAGCCUCCAGUCCAAACCCCUGCUCCACAACCAGGGAAAGAGGGGGCCGAGGAGUGACUGAGUCUGGGGAGGCUUGGUGGCCAACUUGGGCGAUGCCAUUUAAGGAGCCAGCCUGCGUUUCCUGGAGACUCCCCAUCCCAUGGCUCCCCACAACACAGCAACUCUGACGACCUUUGACUUUAGAAAUGAAAAUAUCUUGGAGGUUACAAUGAGAGGGCUUUGGCCCAGUGUGGUAGCUCAUGACUGUAAUCCCAGCACUUUGCGGAGCCAAGGUGGUGAAUCACAUGUGGUCAGGAAUUCAAUAUCAGCCUGGGCAACGUAACAAGACCCUCAUCUUAAAAAAAAAAAAAAAAGUAACAAAGGGGUUUCUUGCUUGCUUUCCUCUUUGGGUAGUUCAAAUCUCGGCUCCACUAUUUAUUAGUACUAGUUGAGGGGCUCUGGGCAAGUUAUGAAACCUCUCUGAGCUCAGUAGCUGCAUCAUAAAAUGGGGAUAAUAAUGUUGAACUACUUAUUAUCAACGUGUGUGUUCCUUCCUCUUCCCCUAAAUCCCUAAUUACUGUGGAGAAUCUCUGCCUUAUAACAGACCCCAGAGGAGCCCCUGUUCCUGUUAUUUAGCCCACACCCCAAGGUCCCGCUGCAGCUGUGUGCACAUAAACAGGCUGAAUGUGAGGGAGUGCAUGGCGACAGGCACUGUGGUCUGGGAGCAUCUGCUCUCCUCUCUGUGUGCCUUGGACGUGAUUUGGGAGGAUGACCAAAAGCACAAGGCUAUGUACAUCUUCGGGUAUCAGCGUUUUGCAAGAUACAUUCCUGGGGUAAUCUCCACCCCUCUUUUCCAUCUGUUUGGAGAAGGUGCAUUCUCAGCAUCAAGGGGCAGAAUUCUGGUGGCUAAGCCUUCACCUUUCCAAGGAGAGCUAUAUUUAUCUCUUCCCUGUGGUCAGCUCCUGCUGAUGUAGCAAACAUUAGAACUUCUUCAAAACAUCAAAGUUUAGGAGAUGCCAUGAAACACUGGGAAGUAAAACAAUACAAAAUGAGAGUGCCUGCUUUAUUUUGCUAGCACCUGAAAUCAAACCUUCAUUGAUCUGUCUCAAAAGUUCCAGAGAUAUAUUUUAUCUGAUUAGAGUUUUUGUUUUGUAAUGCAUUUUUCCAGAAUACUGACAAGUUACUGGGCUGAGUUUGCACGGCAGAGGGUUGGAGGGGAAGCCUUUCAGAAUGAAAUCAUUUUCUUUCUCGAAGCCAAGGUACUCUUCCCAACAAAAUGGUUCGCUUGCCUAGUAAAGAAAAUACAAUUUUUAUUGCAAACUAGCCUGAUUUUUUUUUUUUU